rnacentral:rRNA from 1 species
CUAAGAAUAUUCCGCAAUGGGGGAACCCUGACGGAGCGACGCCGCGUGGACGAUGAAGGUCGGAAGAUUGUAAAGUCCUUUAUACAUGAAGAAGAAGUUAUACAGGAAAUGGUAUGAUGGUGACUGUAGUGUAUGAAUAAGCACCGGCUAAUUACGUGCCAGCAGCCGCGGUAACACGUAAGGUGCGAGCGUUGUUCGGAAUUAUUGGGCGUAAAGGGCAUGCAGGCGGUCGUGCAAGCCCGGCGUGAAAGGCGGGGCUCAACUCCGAACUGCGCUGGGAACUGCAAGGCUUGAGUUUCUGAAGGGUAGUCGGAAUUCCACGUGUAGGGGUGAAAUCUGUAGAUAUGUGGAAGAACACCAAUGGCGAAGGCAGGCUACUGGCAGAAGACUGACGCUGAAGUGCGAAGGUGCGGGGAGCAAACAGGAUUAGAUACCCUGGUAGUCCGCACAGUCAACGAUGUGCACUAGAUGUCUGUCCACGAGGAUGGGUGUCAAAGCAAACGCGAUAAGUGCACCGCCU